AUAAGGAUGCCGGGAAACCGGUAGACCCCACCCGUGUCUAUCUACUCUUGUUGCUUUGGCAGGCCGUGGUCUUCCACUGCGGGCUCCGCCCGCACGCGCCUGCCAGAGGACCAAACUCUGAAUUUUAGUGAUGUCUGAGUACUAUAUAAUAGUUA
rnacentral:misc_RNA from 1 species